GAUGAAGAACGCAGUGAAAUGCGAUAAGUAGUGUGAAUUGCAGAAUUCAGUGAAUCAUCGAAUCUUUGAACGCACAUUGCGGCCAUAGGUAUUCCUUUGGCCAUGCCUGUUCGAGCGUCAUUUACACCCUCAAGCCUAGCUUGGUGUUGGGCGCCUGUCCCGCCGUUUUCGCGCGCGGACUCGCCUCAAAGUCAUUGGCGGCGGUCGUGCCGGCCCCCUCGCGCACCACAUUUGCGCUUCUCGGAGGCCCGGCGGAUCCGCGCUCCAGCAAGACCUUUCACGACUUGACCUCGGAUCAGGUAGGGAUACCCGCUGAACUUAAGCAUAUCAAUAAGCGGAGGA
rnacentral:misc_RNA from 1 species